UUGAUUUGAGAUUCCCCCAUCAGAACUCUACCAUCCUCGCCCUUAAUACACCUAACUUGGUCUAGAUCACGUGCCUUCCUUUCCCUUGCUUUAGCUAACCGGAAUAACUUCUUAUCCCCGCCUCGCCAACUUGUAGAUCACCCUGUUCGCUCUCCGUUCUUCCUCGCUUGUGCUCCCUGCCAACCUAGCGAACGCCGCCUUCUUCACCUCAACUUUUCCUUUGACUACAUCGUUCCACCACCAAUCACCCUAAUAUCUGCCUGAAUAUCCCUUGGCUACCCCGAGCACGUCCCGUGCUACCCCCUAACCAAGUUCGCC
rnacentral:lncRNA from 1 species